rnacentral:rRNA from 1 species
UACGGGGGGGGCAAGCGUUGUUCGGAAUUACUGGGCGUAAAGGGCGUGUAGGCGGCUUUUCAAGUCGGGCGUGAAAUCUCCGGGCUUAACCUGGAAGGGUCGUUCGAUACUGUUGAGCUAGAGUGUGGAAGAGGCUACUGGAAUUCCGUGUGUAGAGGUGAAAUUCGUAGAUAUUCGCAAGAACACCAGUGGCGAAGGCGGCUCACUGGCCCGGUACUGACGCUGAGGUGCGAAAGCGUGGGGAGCAAACAGG